rnacentral:lncRNA from 1 species
CAUCUGAGAUCCUUUGAAAUCAUUAUAUCUUUUUCUUAAAGCAUACAUAUACAUAGACGGAAAAACAAUAAAAUUCAUGCUUCAUAAUCAUGCUAUUUUCAUAAGACAUAUUCAUGAAAUCAAUGCUCAUAAUAAAACAUGCUUUUUCAUAUCACAUAUGUCGAUCCUUAUUUUAUGAAAAAUUAUGAUUUCAUCAAUAGCAAUU